CUUGGAGAGCAAUGCUGGGGGGCUCAGGAGGGGUGCUGGGGGGAUAAGGAGUGAUGCUGCUGCAGCGGGAUUUAGGGGGAUGCUGCAGGGUGGGGGUGCAAACACGGACCCCUCAGCACCCCCUCCUCAGCAGAGCUGGGUUUAUGGGUUGCCAUCCCCCUUGUCUUCCUUGGGGACCCCCCAGCAGGUGUCCCCUGUUCACGGUUCACAAAGCAGAGAGGCAGGAGUCUUAUUUCUCCUGGAGACCCAGCAGAUGUGGGGUUUGGGGACGUGGGUUUCAGGUGCCACUAUUGCCUUUUCACUUUGGGGAGGGUUCAUUCCUUGUUGUUCCCUGGAACAGCACUGCCUCGGCCAGGGAGGAGGGUUUGCUGCAAUUUUGGGUGAUUUUGGCCCAGGAGGGACAGGGCAGGGGACACAGGAUGUGGAGGAAGGGCCGGCAGCUGGUUCAACCCUGGAGAUGGGGUGUUCAGGCUGUGUAGCACUUUGCCAGCAUCAAACUCCUGCGGUGUCGAAACAUCCAGAUAUUUAUUUCAUCAAGAGCCUCAUCAAACUGCCGAGGAGGGAAUUAACAGCUUUUCAUUCAUCCCGUGGCUGAGAUGCUAAGCAGCUCCUGGGCUACUGACCGAGGAGGCAGCAAUGAUGAACGCCUCCACGGGCUGGAGAAGGUGUUUCCAUCCCUGGUUUUGCAAGGAGGCACUGAAAGCCCAGGUGAGGCGGAAGGGUGCGUCCCACACACGCGUGUCCUCUGGGGCACGGAUUUAAACACCUUCCCGCGGUGCAAACAGCCUCCCAGGCCCAGGGGAAGGUGACGUGUCCCAGCUGUGCACAGCUCUGAUGCAGCCUGGCUGCUGAAUCGCUCCCGGCAGGAGGGAAGCGUCAGGUCGGGGAGUGCAAAAUAGGUUUUAGUGUUGAUGCGGAGCUCUCGGGAAGAGGCUCAUCCCUUUUCGCAGCUCCUGGCAUGGCCAGAGACCCCACACUGACCCUUUUCCAAGGGUUAUCUGCAAAGGACUAAUCAUCCUGGCAGGUUCCAGCAAACACGUCCUCUCUGCUCAGCUCCGGCGUUUUGUUUUGUUUUGUUCUGUUUUCUGCUGGAAUGCUAAAAAUAAACCCAGUGGAUACAUAAAACAAAUGGAAAAUCUUUAAAGAGCGUUGCCGCUCAUCUGCCUGCAUUCAGUCCUUGCUGCUCCACCUGCUGAGCUGGCGACUGCCAUGGGUACGGUUUCCAAAACUGGGGCCACUGAGGCAGGGAGUCACUUUGGAGAGGACAGCAUGGCCCAUGGCGGUGUGCAGAGCCUGAGGACGGCACAGGUAGCAGGGCAGAGGUGGCUCCUGCAAAUCCUGACCCCCUUCACCGGUGCUGGUCAGUCCCCAGCCAGGACCAAGGGCUCCCCGCUUCCUUUGCACCCCAAAUUCUAUCAUUGACACUUUCAGCCCUGCUGUCCCAUGGGGAUCGCCCCUCUUACAAAGUUCUCUGCGGCAUCGCCUUAGCUCGUAUUUUUUCCUCGGAUAACAGGAGGAUGCUGCCUCUCCCACCCCCUCCAAACAGCCCCAGCUCAGGAAUUAAAUCACACGGAGGCGGCGAGCGCGGUGCCGGGGAGGAGAACUCUCAGUGCUCAUCUGCCCGGCGAGUUCGGGUCCAUCUGCGGGAUUUACAGCCACGGCUGCCGACGGUGGCGGUUUGAUUUACUGAGAGGCUGCAAACUUGACAAAGUGUAUUUCCCUGCAGGAAGAGCCUCUUCCCCUCUGGAAUUUAUUGCUUUUAAUUAAAAUGGCCGUAAAAAUGA